rnacentral:tRNA from 1 species
GCCGCGGUGGCGGAACUGGCAGACGCGCGUGAUUCAGGUUCACGUAUCGCAAGAUGUGAGAGUUCGAGUCUCUCCCGCGGCA